rnacentral:rRNA from 1 species
AGAACGAACGCUGGCGGCAGGCCUAACACAUGCAAGUCGAACGCCCGUAGCAAUACGGGAGUGGCAGACGGGUGAGUAACGCGUGGGAACGUACCUUUCGGUUCGGAAUAACCCGGGGAAACUCGGGCUAAUACCGGAUACGUCCGCAAGGAGAAAGAUUUAUCGCCGAAAGAUCGGCCCGCGUCGGAUUAGCUAGUUGGUGAGGUAACGGCCCACAAGGCGACGAUCCGUAGCUGGUCUGAGAGGAUGAUCAGCCACACUGGGACUGAGACACGGCCCAGACUCCUACGGGAGGCAGCAGUGGGGAAUAUUGGACAAUGGGCGAAAGCCUGAUCCAGCCAUGCCGCGUGAGUGAAGAGGCCUUAGGUUGUAAAGCUCUUUCGAGCGGGGAAGAUAAUGGACGGUACCGCAGGAAGAACGUACCCGGCUAACGUUCGUGCCGAGCAGCCGC